rnacentral:rRNA from 1 species
UGGCUCAGGACGAACGCUGGCGGCGUGCUUAACACAUGCAAGUCGAACGAGGAUACAGGAGAGCUUGCUUGAAUGUAUCGAGUGGCGGACGGGUGAGUAACGCGUGAAUAAUCUGUCCCAUACAGGGGGAUAACGCAUCGAAAGAUGUGCUAAUACCGCGUAGGACCACGGGUGGGCAUCCAUCCGAGGUGAAAGGAGCAAUCCAGUAUGGGGUGAGUUCGCGUCUGAUUAGAUAGUUGGUGAGGUAACGGCCCACCAAGUCAACGAUCAGUAGCCGACCUGAGAGGGUGAUCGGCCACAUUGGGACUGAGACACGGCCCAGACUCCUACGGGAGGCAGCAGUGGGGAAUAUUGGGCAAUGGGCGAAAGCCUGACCCAGCAACGCCGCGUGAAGGAAGAAGGUUUUCGGAUUGUAAACUUCUGUCCUAUGUGAAGAGGAGAAGACGGUAGCAUAGGAGGAAGCCCCGGCUAACUACGUGCCAGCCGCAGC